CAGAGCUAGAAAUGGAAAGAAUUAGGUAAAAAUUGGGGAAGAAAGGAAAAGAAUCGGAAGAAAUAGAGAGAUAGAGUUUCAGAGAAAUCAAGACUGAGAAAGAAAAUUGUUAUUUGAUUAGUUUUCAGAUCUGGAAAUUGAGAAAUUAGGAGAAGAGAGAGUUAAGAGGCUUGAAACAGAAGAUUAUGAGUGGAAAAUGCUAGGGUUUUGGAACCCUAACCGAGAGAACAGAGGAAAUUAGAGGAAGAAGAAGAAGAAAGGGACUGAGAAAGAAUAGAAUUGAAGAAAGAAGAGGGAGAUUGUUGAGAAAGAAGAAGAAAGAGGGAGAAGAGGAGAGUGAGAGAAUUAGCAAGAGAAGUAAUUCUUGUAUUAUUG
rnacentral:misc_RNA from 1 species